AUGCCAGAAGGACACCGUCUGAUCAAUUGCUUGUAUCUUUCCCAAGUUUCAUAGAGGGAUUCAUCUUCCUUCUGUUUGAAGGUUUGAACUUCCACUCUAAGCUU